UACGGGGGGAGCAAGCGUUGUUCGGAUUUACUGGGCGUAAAGGGCGUGUAGGCGGCCACCGCAAGUCGACUGUGAAAUCUCCGGGCUUAACCCGGAAAGGUCAGCCGAUACUGCGGGGCUAGAGUGCAGAAGGGGCAACUGGAAUUCUCGGUGUAGCGGUGAAAUGCGUAGAUAUCGAGAGGAACACCUGCGGCGAAGGCGGGUUGCUGGGCUGACACUGACGCUGAGGCGCGAAAGCCAGGGGAGCGAACGGG
rnacentral:rRNA from 1 species